CUUGCUGGAUGCUGACGAGCGGCGGACGGGUGAGUAAUGCAUAGGAAUCUGCCCGAUAGUGGGGGAUAACCUGGGGAAACCCAGGCUAAUACCGCAUACGUCCUACGGGAGAAAGGGGGCUCCGGCUCCCGCUAUGGGAUGAGCCUAUGUCGGAUUAGCUAGUUGGUGAGGUAACGGCUCACCAAGGCCACGAUCCGUAGCUGGUCUGAGAGGAUGAUCAGCCACAUCGGGACUGAGACACGGCCCGAACUCCUACGGGAGGCAGCAGUGGGGAAUAUUGGACAAUGGGGGAAACCCUGAUCCAGCCAUGCCGCGUGUGUGAAGAAGGCCCUCGGGUUGUAAAGCACUUUCAGCGAGGAAGAACGCCUAGCGGUUAAUACCCGCUAGGAAAGACAUCACUCGCAGAAGAAGCACCGGCUAACUCCGUGCCAGCAGCCGCGGUAAUACGGAGGGUGCAAGCGUUAAUCGGAAUUACUGGGCGUAAAGCGCGCGUAGGUGGCUUGAUAAGCCGGUUGUGAAAGCCCCGGGCUCAACCUGGGAACGGCAUCCGGAACUGUCAAGCUAGAGUGCAGGAGAGGAAGGUAGAAUUCCCGGUGUAGCGGUGAAAUGCGUAGAGAUCGGGAGGAAUACCAGUGGCGAAGGCGGCCUUCUGGACUGACACUGACACUGAGGUGCGAAAGCGUGGGUAGCAAACAGGAUUAGAUACCCUGGUAGUCCACGCCGUAAACGAUGUCGACCAGCCGUUGGGUGCCUAGCGCACUUUGUGGCGAAGUUAACGCGAUAAGUCGACCGCCUGGGGAGUACGGCCGCAAGGUUAAAACUCAAAUGAAUUGACGGGGGCCCGCACAAGCGGUGGAGCAUGUGGUUUAAUUCGAUGCAACGCGAGACCUUACCUACUC
rnacentral:rRNA from 2 species